rnacentral:rRNA from 1 species
CCCUUAGAUGUUCUGGGCCGCACGCGCGCUACACUGACGAUGGCAACGAGUUUUUCCUUCGCCGAAAGGUGUGGGUAAUCUUUUGAAACAUCGUCGUGCUGGGGAUAGAUCAUUGCAAUUUUUGAUCUUGAACGAGGAAUUCCUAGUAAGCGCGAGUCAUCAGCUCGCGUUGAUUACGUCCCUGCCCUUUGUAAACACCGCCCGUCGCUACUACCGAUUGAAUGGUUUAGUGAGGACUCCUGAUUGGCGCCGCCGCCCCGGCAACGGAGCAGCGGACUGCCGAAAAGUUGUUCAAACUUGAUCAUUUAGAGGAAGUAAAAGUCGUAACA